rnacentral:rRNA from 1 species
CAUGGCGCUAGAGGGAUGCCUUACACAUGCAAGUCGAACGGCAGCGGGAAGAAAGCUUGCUUUCUUUGCCGGCNAGUGGCGAACGGGUGAGUAAUGUAUCNGAACGUGCCCAGUAGCGGGGGAUAACUGGCCGAAAGGUCAGCUAAUACCGCAUACGCCCUACGGGGGAAAGGGGGGGAUUCUUCGGAACCUCUCACUAUUGGAGCGGCCGAUAUCGGAUUAGCUAGUUGGUGGGGUAAUGGCCUACCAAGGCGACGAUCCGUAGCUGGUUUGAGAGGACGACCAGCCACACUGGGACUGAGACACGGCCCAGACUCCUACGGGAGGCAGCAGUGGGGAAUUUUGGACAAUGGGGGAAACCCUGAUCCAGCCAUCCCGCGUGUGCGAUGAAGGCCUUCGGGUUGUAAAGCACUUUUGUCAGGGAAGAAAAGGUUCUGGCUAAUACCCGGAACUGAUGACGGUACCUGAAGAAUAAGCACCGGCUAACUACGUGCCAGCAGCCGCGGUAAUACGUAGGGUGCAAGCGUUAAUCGGAAUUACUGGGCGUAAAGCGUGCGCAGGCGGUUCGGAAAGAAGAUGUGAAAUCCCAGGCUCAACUUGGACUGCAUUCUUACUACCAACUAAAUUAUGUCAAAAGGGGU